rnacentral:rRNA from 1 species
GAUGAACGCUAGCGGGAGGCUUAACACAUGCAAGUCGAGGGGCAUCACGAGGUAGCAAUACUUUGGUGGCGACCGGCGCACGGGUGAGUAACACGUAUGCAACCUUCCCUGUACAGGGGGAUAACCCGGAGAAAUUCGGACUAAUACCCCAUGAUGAUAUUUAUGGGCAUCCAUUGAUAUUUAAAGCUCUGGCGGUACAGGAUGGGCAUGCGCGACAUUAGCUAGUUGGUAAGGUAACGGCUUACCAAGGCCACGAUGUUUAGGGGACCUGAGAGGGUUGUCCCCCCACACUGGUACUGAGACACGGACCAGACUCCUACGGGAGGCAGCAGUGAGGAAUAUUGGUCAAUGGGCGCAAGCCUGAACCAGCCAUCCCGCGUGAAGGAAGAAUGCGCUACGCGUUGUAAACUUCUUUUCCAGGGGGAGAAUAAUCCUGUCGUGACAGGACUUGACGGUACUCUGGGAAUAAGCAUCGGCUAACUCCGUG